rnacentral:misc_RNA from 1 species
AAGUCGUAACAAGGUUUCCGUAGGUGAACCUGCGGAAGGAUCAUUACAGAGAAUAUCGCCCUCACGGGUGACUCUCCAACCCUAUGUUAUUAUACCUUCGUUGCUUUGGCGAGCCGCCCCGGCCACCGGCUCACGCUGGUGAGUGCUCGCCAGAGGACCCCAAACCCUGAAUAUUAGUGUCGUCUGAGUACUAUACAAUAGUUAAAAAC